CCUACGGGAGGCAGCAGUGAGGAAUAUUGGUCAAUGGACGCAAGUCUGAACCAGCCAUGCCGCGUGCAGGAAGACGGCUCUAUGAGUUGUAAACUGCUUUUGAACGAGGGUAAACGCAGAUACGCGUAUCUGUCUGAAAGUAACGUACGAAUAAGGAUCGGCUAACUCCGUGCCAGCAGCCGCGGCCAGACGGAGGAUUCAGGCGGUAUCCGGAUUUAUUGGGUUUAAACGUUGCGUAGGCGGUCGGAUAAGUUAGAGGUGAAAUCCCGAGGCUCAAAUUCGGACUUGCCUCUGAUACUGUUCGGCUAGAGAGUAGGUGCGGUGGGCGGAAUGUAUGGUGUAGCGGUGAAAUGCGUAGAGAUCAUACAGAACACCGAUUGCGAAGGCAGCUUAC
rnacentral:rRNA from 1 species